rnacentral:ncRNA from 1 species
GGGUGCGUGCAUCGGACAGCGAUGCGGGCAGGAGAGUGACGCUGGUCGGGCCGCCAGUG